rnacentral:rRNA from 1 species
GGGUUGUGAGGUUAAGCGACUAAGCGUACACGGUGGAUGCCCUGGCAGUCAGAGGCGAUGAAGGACGUGCUAAUCUGCGAAAAGCGUCGGUAAGGUGAUAUGAACCGUUAUAACCGGCGAUGUCCGAAUGGGGAAACCCAGUGUGAUUCGUCACACUAUCGUUAACUGAAUACAUAGGUUAACGAGGCGAACCGGGGGAACUGAAACAUCUAAGUACCCCGAGGAAAAGAAAUCAACCGAGAUUCCCCCAGUAGCGGCGAGCGAACGGGGAGCAGCCCAGAGUCUGAAUCAGCUUGUGUGUUAGUGGAACGGUCUGGAAAGUCCGACGGUACAGGGUGAUAGUCCCGUACACCAAAAUGCACAGGUUGUGAACUCGAAGAGUAGGGCGGGACACGUGGUAUCCUGUCUGAAUAUGGGGGGACCAUCCUCCAAGGCUAAAUACUCCUGACUGACCGAUAGUGAACCAGUACCGUGAGGGAAAGGCGAAAAGAACCCCGGCGAGGGGAGUGAAAAAGAACCUGAAACCGUGUACGUACAAGCAGUGGGAGCACCUUCGGGUGUGACUGCGUACCUUUUGUAUAAUGGGUCAGCGACUUAUAUUCUGUAGCAAGGUUAACCGUAUAGGGGAGCCGCAGGGAAACCGAGUCUUAACUGGGCGUUAAGUUGCAGGGUAUAGACCCGAAACCCGGUGAUCUAGCCAUGGGCAGGUUGAAGGUUGGGUAACACUAACUGGAGGACCGAACCGACUAAUGUUGAAAAAUUAGCGGAUGACUUGUGGCUGGGGGUGAAAGGCCAAUCAAACCGGGAGAUAGCUGGUUCUCCCCGAAAGCUAUUUAGGUAGCGCCUCGUGAACUCAUCUUCGGGGGUAGAGCACUGUUUCGGCUAGGGGGUCAUCCCGACUUACCAACCCGAUGCAAACUACGAAUACCGAAGAAUGUUAUCACGGGAGACACACGGCGGGUGCUAACGUCCGUCGUGAAGAGGGAAACAACCCAGACCGCCAGCUAAGGUCCCAAAGUCAUGGUUAAGUGGGAAACGAUGUGGGAAGGCACAGACAGCCAGGAUGUUGGCUUAGAAGCAGCCAUCAUUUAAAGAAAGCGUAAUAGCUCACUGGUCGAGUCGGCCUGCGCGGAAGAUGUAACGGGGCUAAACCAUGCACCGAAGCUGCGGCAGCGACACUAUGUGUUGUUGGGUAGGGGAGCGUUCUGUAAGCCUGCGAAGGUGUGCUGUGAGGCAUGCUGGAGGUAUCAGAAGUGCGAAUGCUGACAUAAGUAACGAUAAAGCGGGUGAAAAGCCCGCUCGCCGGAAGACCAAGGGUUCCUGUCCAACGUUAAUCGGGGCAGGGUGAGUCGACCCCUAAGGCGAGGCCGAAAGGCGUAGUCGAUGGGAAACAGGUUAAUAUUCCUGUACUUGGUGUUACUGCGAAGGGGGGACGGAGAAGGCUAUGUUAGCCGGGCGACGGUUGUCCCGGUUUAAGCAUGUAGGCUGGUU